GUAAUAGAGUAAUGCAAGUUGUCUAAUGAGAAGUACCAUCUUGUGUUAAGGAAUCCGGUACAACAGCAAUCUUUUAUAGUUCUGUCACAGCUAGAAGCCUCAAAUAAUUCUACUUAUCUGGCUAAAGAACAACUUAUCCUUUACAUUCAGGGUGUUGGUGAAACUGGGUACUUAAAUGGCCCUAAAGAUGUUUUACUUUGCUGCCAUUGCAGAGAUGAACAUCAUACAUGGACUCUUUAGGUCUAAUCUACAAAAAAAAAUUUAGCCAAUAGAAAAGGAUUUUCACAUACUGGGAACACAGCCAUCAACAAUGCAACAUGCUAUGGGUGCUAGUUGAUCAUUCAAGAGCCUUAUACAAUGAUGUUAAUCUGCAAUUUGUAUGUCCUUUCCCAAGCUUCCACUAGAAGUUGAAUUUAUGAGUCAUGUUAAUAGUAACAUUGGAUCCGAAAAGAUUCUUGGUUGGGGCAAGACACUGAAUAAAUUGUAAUGAUUGGAUCGAUGACAUGACAUUUCCAUACUUCAUUCGGAAUCCCGAGACGGUAUUUUUAUUUAACAAAUUGAAGUGCAUAUCUGGGCUCCCUUCUUUUCUGUGGCCCCGUUUCCCUUAAAUUUUUAAUAAGCCCGUAGGGGGUCAUGCCCCUACUGUACGGUAUAUAUAAAAACAACAUAUACCGAGGUUUGGAGGGCUCUGGCCGGAAAGGGGACGUGGGGUGUCCGCUUAGUCCGAUGAAGUCUUCACGGAGGGCGACGUGGCUGCCCACAAAUCCGAAUUAAAGGCUAAUCGCUCCUGUAAAAAUGUUCCAUAUCUUCGGCUCUUCUUCCGGCUUCUCUUAGCCAAUCACCGGGUAAUCUCCCCGGUGGGUCAACAAGGCAGUGUCUCCCCCUGCCUGGGUUGACGGCAACUUCUGAAAGGGCCAUUGUGCCUUUUUAGAGUUGCAAAAAUAAUUGU